rnacentral:tRNA from 1 species
GUGGGGCUGGGGCUCAGCGGUAGAGCGCUCGCCUAGCAUGUGUGAGGCCCUGGGUUCAAUCCUCAGCACCACA